rnacentral:rRNA from 1 species
UGGGGAAUUUUGGACAAUGGGCGCAAGCCUGAUCCAGCAAUGCCGCGUGCAGGAUGAAGGCCUUCGGGUUGUAAACUGCUUUUGUCAGGGAAGAAACGAGUUUCUCUAAUACAGAGACUUAAUGACGGUACCUGAAGAAUAAGCACCGGCUAACUACGUGCCAGCAGCCGCGGUAAUACGUAGGGUGCGAGCGUUAAUCGGAAUUACUGGGCGUAAAGCGUGCGCAGGCGGUUAUAUAAGACAGAUGUGAAAUCCCCGGGCUCAACCUGGGACCUGCAUUUGUGACUGUAUAGCUAGAGUACGGUAGAGGGGGAUGGAAUUCCGCGUGUAGCAGUGAAAUGCGUAGAUAUGCGGAGGAACACCGAUGGCGAAGGCAAUCCCCUGGACCUGUACUGACGCCCAUGCACGAAAGCGUGGGGAGCAAACA